UACGGGAGGCAGCAGUAGGGAAUUUUCGUCAAUGGGGGGAACCCUGAACGAGCAAUGCCGCGUGAGUGAGGAAGGUCUUCGGAUCGUAAAGCUCUGUUGUAAGAGAAAAACGGCACUCAUAGGGAAUGAUGAGUGAGUGAUGGUAUCUUACCAGAAAGUCACGGCUAACUACGUGCCAGCAGCCGCGGUAAUACGUAGGUGGCGAGCGUUAUCCGGAAUGAUUGGGCGUAAAGGGUGCGUAGGUGGCAGAUCAAGUCUGGAGUAAAAGGUAUGGGCUCAACCCGUACUUGCUCUGGAAACUGAUCAGCUAGAGAACAGAAGAGGACGGCGGAACUCCAUGUGUAGCGGUAAAAUGCGUAGAUAUAUGGAAGAACACCGGUGGCGAAGGCGGCCGUCUGGUCUGGAUUCUGACACUGAAGCACGAAAGCGUGGGGAGCAAAUAGGAUUAGAUACCCUAGUAGUCCACGCCGUAAACGAUGAGAACUAGGUGUUGGGGGAAUAACUCAGUGCCGCAGUUAACGCAAUAAGUUCUCCGCCUGGGGAGUAUGCACGCAAGUGUGAAACUCAAAGGAAUUGACGGA
rnacentral:rRNA from 1 species